GGCCACCCAACCAUUCUAGAGCCCAAUAUUACCCGAAAUCCAAUCUACUGAGGAAAUUUAUAUAAAUAAUCGUUAAAGCCCUAGCUACAUUCGUGUUGAGCAGUCGGAGAAUCAGAGAGCGCAAGCCUUUUCAAUCGGCGGCCGGAGACUUAGAAAUCUGCCCAUGGUUUUAGGCAAGUACACGGAUCUUUGGCUCGUGCCGGCAAUGUGAGAGGGCAGACUCCUAAGGUAGCCAAGCAAGGAUAAGAAGAAGAAGCCCCGCGUCCGUGCCCACAAGCGGAUGCAGUACAAUCGCCGCUUUGUUACAGCCGAUAAUUUCAUCUUUUCUUUGAUCAUUUUUAGGUUUUGGAAUUUUUUUUUUCUCCCCGAGAUUCAUGAUCUGUCUUUGUAUGUGUGAAAUCUGACUCGGUUUUAUUAUAUUUUUUAUUUUUUUUAGUUUUAUAUUGAUUUCAGUACAGUAUGUUUGCUUGGGCUUUAAAUAGUUUGCUAUCUAUGAAUGUAUGUUGGUCUAUUUUUUGAAUAAUGGUAUUAGUUGAUGAUGACAAAUCCAAAGGCUUGUUUCUCAAAACAUUCGCAGUGGCCGCCUAAGAGCUUUCGCCUUCGCCGGGCUUGAGAGCUAGUGCUGUUUUUAUCCUUCCUUGGAUGUCUGAAACAUCUAUAGUUAUUUUUCCUUGUUUUUGCUUGUCAAAUUUGUACAUCAUGCACUGAUCAUCUUCUGGUUGCUAUAACAUUUCAACCUUUAAUUGAUGUCUGUUAGCUGUGUUUUGCAUGGUUUUUAAAGAUUGCUUGCCCAGUGGUUAUUUCAGUAUGAUUGCUUUUGCUUUAAAUAGUUUGCUAUCCAUGAAUAUGUGUGUUGGUCUAGUUUUUGAAUGAUGGUAUUAGUUGAUGAUGACAAAUCCAAAGGCUUGUUUCUCAAAACAUUUGCAGUGGCCGCCUAAGAGCUUUCGCCUUCGCCGGGCUUGAGAGCUAGUGCUGCUUUUAUCCUUCCUUGGAUGUCUGAAACAUAAAGUUAUGAAUUUUCCUUGUUUUUGUUUGUCAAAUUUGUACAUCAUGGACAGAUCAUCUUCUGGUUGCUAUAACAUUUCGACCUUUAAUUUGUUGUCUGUUAGCUCUGUUUUGCAUGGUUUUUAAAGAUUGCUUUGCGCAGAAGUCCUGGUUUCUUGAUUUAUAGAUGGCAGCAGCAGUUGGAUUUGGUAAGAAGAGAGGGCCAAACUCAUCUGAUAAGUAAAUGAAGAAAUGAAGAUUUUUCUUAUUUAGAGUUUGUUAUUCAGAUGAAUGUUCUUGUUAUAGCCAUUUUGGAUGCUGUACUAAACUACAAGAUUGUUUGUCGGAUAAGGGCUUAAUGUUACAGAAUUUAAAUGAUUACUGGUAAACGAACUUCACCUGAAAUGAUAGUCAUUUGGUUGUAGUGUGCUGGUUUACCCUCUUCCAUGUUCAUUGUUGGCAUGAAAAGCUGCAUUUGCUCCUUUGCCAUCAUCUACAGAUAUUGAUGCAUACUAUUUGUUGUGGAUAUAAAUUGUUAUGGACACAACUCAAUCCAAUUUUUGGGGUAUUUCUACAAUGUUAGUUUAUUAUCA